UACGGAGGUGGCAAGCGUUACUCGGAUUCAUUGGGUGUAAAGGGCAGGUAGGUGGCUCUGCAAGUCGGUAAGUGAAAUCCCUCGGCUCAACCGAGGAACUGCUUUCGAAACUGCAGGGCUUGAGACUAGAAGGGGAGAGCGGAAUUCCCGGUGUAAGGGUGAAAUCUGUAGAUAUCGGGAGGAACACCAGAAGCGAAGGCGGCUCUCUGGGCUAGUUCUGACACUGAGCUGCGAAAGCUAGGGGAGCAAACAGG
rnacentral:rRNA from 1 species